UACGGAGGGAGCUAGCGUUGUUCGGAAUUACUGGGCGUAAAGCGCACGUAGGCGGCUUUGUAAGUUAGAGGUGAAAGCCCGGGGCUCAACUCCGGAAUUGCCUUUAAGACUGCAUCGCUUGAAUCCAGGAGAGGUGAGUGGAAUUCCGAGUGUAGAGGUGAAAUUCGUAGAUAUUCGGAAGAACACCAGUGGCGAAGGCGGCUCACUGGACUGGUAUUGACGCUGAGGUGCGAAAGCGUGAGGAGCAAACAGG
rnacentral:rRNA from 1 species